rnacentral:lncRNA from 1 species
CGUGUUGUGAUUAGUAGUUGCUUAGUCUUCCAAGUCAAAGUUAUUCAUCCACAAUCCAUGAGUAUGCUUUGGCCUCCAGUAGAAAGUAGCAAACUUAAUUCCAGCAUAAAGUCUUAAGAAAAUACAGAAAUCAACUAUAAUAUCCGCACCCAAAUUUCGAGGUCCAAUUAUCAAAAUUGAAAAGUUAGGGGCUCAUUUGAGGGUUAAUUCACCUUCUAGAACAUUGUAGAAAAAUUAGUAUAAAUGCUAAUUCCCACACGUUUUUACUCUUUGAAGAAGGGUUGACUGCUUGGUCAAACUCUUAUAUAGAAAAUCCUUGAUUUAUGUUUUUUGUCAUAUUCAUGAUUGAUCAAACAUAGGGUAAUGUGUAGCGUGAAUGCACGUGUAUAUAGAACGUAAUUAGAGAUUCUUGCUCAUUUCACAAAUUUCAAGGAACAAUUUUCAAUGCUAGAAUUAAGAGCAUUUCCACCAUCAUGAGUUUUUCCUUAAUGAUGUGUACCUAUUCUCUUCCUAUUUAAGCCCCUCAUUCACAUUCACAUCCUACCACUCACUAUUAUUUUUCAAUCCAAAUAAUAUACAUAUAUAGACGCACAUAGCCAAGGUGGAAAUUGUAGAAAGAUCAAGCAAUUUUAUACAGUCUCUAUUACUCUCUCUUUUAAAUUUCACAUUAAGUACGCUACCUAUGUUUGGAUUAUUAUUAUGUUAUAAAUUUCACGAAAAUCAUUAUGGGUCUCAUAUGAUACAAUAUGAUUAUGUUAAGGAUACCGGAGUUUAGUAGCGUGCUACACAUAAGAAUGCUUACCACCUAUGAUCGAAAAAUUUGUCUCCAUUAUAUUGAUUAUGAUUAUUAUGCUCCUUUAAAUUAUACAUGAUAAUAAUUCAUGGCGUACUUAUUAAGAUUUUAUAAAUAUCACUCUAUGAUAUUUUCCCCUUUCAGGCAAUUAAUGGUUCAAGAUAGUCAACAU